GAUGAACGCUGGCGGCGUGCUUAACACAUGCAAGUCGAACGAGAAUCUAAUGACGGAAGCUUCGGCCGAAGUGAUUGGAGGAAAGUGGCGGACGGGUGAGUAACGCGUGAGCAACCUGCCUUUAAGAGGGGGAUAACAUUCCGAAAGGGAUGCUAAUACCGCAUAAUGCAGAGGGAAGGCAUCUUUCUUCUGCCAAAGAUUUAUCGCUUAGAGAUGGGCUCGCGUAUGAUUAGCUAGUUGGUGAGGUAACGGCUCACCAAGGCGACGAUCAUUAGCCGGACUGAGAGGUUGAACGGCCACAUUGGGACUGAGACACGGCCCAG
rnacentral:rRNA from 1 species